rnacentral:tRNA from 1 species
UUCAGGUAGUUUAAAAAAAAUAUUAAUUUGUGGUAUUAAAGAUGUAGUUAUAAUUUUUACCCUGAGUA